rnacentral:lncRNA from 1 species
AGGAUGUCGUGCCUAUCAUAGAGACAUUCCCAGAUGAGCAACUGAUGUCCGUCAAGGUAAGUGAACCGUGGUAUGCUGAUUUGGUGAAUUAUUUGGUGUCUAAACAUGUUCCUAGUGAAUUACUUUAAACACCAAUGUUGAUAAAUUGAAGAAAGAGGCACGGUUUUAUGUGUGGGAUGACCCGUAUUUAUGGAAAUAUUGGCCCUGACCAAGUUAUACGUAGGUGUGUGUACACGAUUCUGAGUUUAAUGCAAUUCUAACCUUUUGUCACACACUUAUGCUUGUGGGGGACACUUUGGCACUCAAAAGAACAGCACUUAAGGUGUUAGAAUGUGGUUUCUAUUGGCCUACCAUCUUUAGGGAUGCUAGAACAUUUUGCAUGUCUUGUGAUAGAUGCCAAAGAACGGGCAAUAUUGGUCCUAAACAACAAAUGCCGCAAACCCCCAUUUUUAGUGUUGAAAUCUUUGAUGUUUGGGGUAUAGAUUUCAUGGGUCCUUUCCCUCCAUCUUUUGGUUUCACUUAUAUCUUGCUAGCUGUUGAUUAUGUUUCCAAAUGGGUGGAAGCCAAAAAAGCCACCCGAACUAACGAUUCAAAGGUUGUUGCAGAUUUUGUGAAAACUAAUAUCUUUGCUAGGUUUGGCAUGCCUAGAGUUCUCAUUAGUGAUGGAGGCUCUCACUUUUGUAAUCAAACCAUUGAAGCUUUGCUCAAGAAGUACAAAGUGACGCAUAAGGUAUCCACCCCUUAUCAUCCUCAAACCAAUGGGCAAGCGGAAGUUUCAAAUCGGGAGAUCAAGCAAAUUCUUGAGAAAACCGUAGGGCCUUCAAGGAGAGAUUGGAGUUUGCGCUUGGACGAUGCAUUGUGGGCCUAUCGUACGGCCUACAAAACCCCUCUAGGUAUGUCACCUUUUCGUCUCAUUUAUGGUAAACCAUGUCAUUUGCCCGUUGAAUUGGAACAUAGGGCGCAUUGGGCUGUGAAGACCUUCAACAUGGACAUAGAUGCAGCCGGGGUGCAUAGAAAGCUCCAACUAAAUGAACUCGAGGAGAUUAGGCAUGACGCUUAUGAGAACGCUCGAAUUUACAAGGACAAGACCAAGGCGUAUCAUGACAAGAUGCUUCGUACCAAAACAUUCUCCAAGGGACAGAAAGUGCUCCUAUUUGACUCUCGCCUUCGGUUAUUCCCCGGUAAGUUACGUUCCAAGUGGAUUGGGCCAUUUAUUGUUACUAAUGUCUUUCCUCAUGGUGCAGUCCAAGUCCAAAGCUUGAAAACAGGACAUGAAAUCAAGGUUAAUGGGCAUCGAUUGAAGCCCUAUUACGACCUGUUUGAGGAGCAUGUGGUGGAGGAUCUAUCCCUCCAUGCCGUGGGCACCAAAGAUCAUUGAUGAAUGAUAGACGUCCGGCUGCACGACGUUAAAGAAAGCGCUUCUUGGGAGGCAACCCAUGGAAAUAGAGAAGACCUAGGAAUUUCCGACUCCAAAACCAGGUGUUUGCGUUCUUUAACCCUCCUCUCUGUUGCUUUUACUUUGCCAUAUUUAUCAUGUUUCCUCGUUGUUUGUUUGUUUGCUUUUUUGUGAGUUUAUGUUUGAAACAUUGAGGACAAUGUUAGAUUUAAGUGUGGGGGGGUAAACAAGUUGCUGUUGCAUGAUUUUCGUGGGUUUUUAUUCACCUAUCACUUACAAUGUUGUUUCUUGCUGUUUUAAGUGUUUUUAGUGUGUUUUUAAGCAUGUUAGUAUGUUUUGACAUAAAAAUCCGAAAAUUUGACAAAAAUAAAAAAAAAAUAAAAAAUAAAAAUAAAAAAAUAAAAAAAAUUGUUUUGAAAAAGCCAAAAAGAGUUGUUUUUGUGUGUUUGUUUGUGUCUUAGGGUACCUUCCAACACAAAUAAUGAGGAUUUGGUUUUUAAUUGCAUGACUGUUAAAGAAAGUUAUAAACAUGGAUGGAAGUUUGAUAUGCUCUUGAUUUAUGCUUGGUUAUAGUUAUAGUUUACGAAUUCACAUGUAAUCACAAAAAAAAAAAAAAAAAAAAAAAAAAAUCAGUUUUUGUAACAUGCUUGAAGGAAGGAACUCAAACUAACACUACAACCUUGAGAGACUUGAGCCUAAUACGUUCUUUGGAGAGUUAUUAAUCUGUGCAUUUUUGUUUUCUAAAGUCGUUGCAUGAUCUCAUCAUUCUUUGCCUGGUUGCUACUUAGAAGGCGUUUCAUCAUUUAGUUCCAAAUACUAGAACUUAUGCCCGUUCCAUUCAAAGCAUGACAUUGAUUUGCAUAACACAUAUUCAAGAUGAAGUUCUGUAGUGAACUAGAGCCAAAAAGCUUAUCCUGUGCAUAUUUGUUUAAGUUUAACCCCGUUGAGCCUUGUUUAGCCUGUUUUCUUUGUUAAACCACAUUUCCCUUACCUAGCCUAGAUUAGGACUAUCCUUACCCUUGUUUUUAAAGCAUAAUGAAGCAUGACUUAAAAUGAAUUCCUUUUGAUUGUCCUUAUGCAGAAAACAAGUGUGGGGGAAUGAGAGUUUUGUGUUUAGUGUGCCAAAAGAAAGUAAUAAGGCACGGGUUAAAAAAAAAAAAAAAAAAAAAAAAAAAAAAAAAAAAAAAGAGUUUGAAAUAAGUGAGGAAAGGCUCACAAGUGUUGUUUGUUGUAGAAAGGGUCCAAAAAGUUGAAAUCGGCCCUAAAAAGUUGAAUGAAUAACCCCAUUGUGUUUAAAGUUAGUUGCUGCAUUCAAAAGGAAUUCUAAGCAUCAAUUUCAUUACUUUGCUUAUUAUGCUUUAAAAAACGUUUGUUUCCUUACCUUUCAUUGUUAGCCAAUCACCCCUAACCCCGUUACAACCCUUAACUUCAAUCUUGAGUGUUAUGUGUUUCAAUAUGUGGAGUUUGGGAUUGGUACGAGCAUAUGGUAUCCCUGGUUCUCGCAUCUAAGUAGUAGCAUUCCAGUCAUGAGAUCAUAUCUAUACAUGCUUAAUAACUCCAGAAAUUGCUUUCUUUGCUUUAAACAUAUGUGAGUGUUCGUUUUCAUGUUUACAUCAAUCUUCUCACAUCCAGAAAUUGCUUUCUUUGCUUUAAACAUAUGUGAGUGUUCGUUUUCAUGUUUACAUCAAUCUUCUCACAUCCAGAAAUUGCUUUCUUUGCUUUAAACAUAUGUGAGUGUUCGUUUUCAUGUUUACAUCAAUCUUCUCACAUACACCUAGUGUAGGGUGUGUAGUCAGAAAUUCAGAGUGAAAAUAAGAGUGUAUCUUGUAAGGAAUUGAGCAAAUUCUCUAAGGCAUGUUACUACAUUCAAAACAUCGUUUUAAUUGGUUAUAUGUGAACUAGUAUAUGGUGACUAUGAUUAAGUAUGUGCUCAAGGGUAGGGAAGGCCAAAAUAUGUGGUUAUGAUGAUCUUUUGCAUGUCAUGUUGCAUUGAAAAUCCCUAAGGUAAAUGUUGGAAGGUUUAGGUUUUGUUUUUUUUUUUGUUUCUUGUUUUUUGCUCGAGGACAAGUAAAAGCUAAGUGUGGGGGAAUUUGAUAGGAGCAUAUUUAUGCGACUUAGUAUGUUUGUUUUCGUGCAUUUAUGUUCUUAGUUCUUAGUUAUGUUAGUAGUUUAAGCCAUUUUUGUGUGUUUGUAGGUUCUAUGGGCCAAGGAUGCAAGAAGAUGCAUUUUGGAGCACUUUGGAGCAUUUUUGGGCCAAGAUUGGAUGGUGCAAACAUGGAGACAUGAGGAUGGACGAAUUUGAUGAUUCAAUGGGCUAGAAAUCUACAUGUGUGUGUGCAAAGUGUUGGCCUACAACUUCAAACAUCAUAGCUGCCAUGUGAUGGCAGAAAAUGUGUUUAUUGCUAGCUAAAUGGAUGAAGAACAUGCAUGUGCAAGUAUAAACACCACAUGGGCAGCAAGAAGGAAAGAAAACAGCAACACACACACCACAUGGGCAGCAAGGAAUCAGAAAUUAAAGCAUGGAAGAGUGGGAAGUGAUGAUGACAACACAAACACACACACACGGCAAUGGAAUGGAGUUGGCAGAUUUCUACAACUUUGAUCAGCUGACUUUGGGAGCAAAUUGCGAACAGUUCAGAAUGAAUUAGAGAAUGAGCCUUAUAUGCUUGGAAAGCUACAGAUGUCUAUUUUCUAGAACAUUUCGCGGAUUGUUAAUAUCAUUUUUCUAGAAGAAGUUAUAGGCAUUUGAGUAAGGGAAGGUCUAGCUGACGACAACUUGCAGAUUGGAAUUGAAAGCAAACAAAAGAAAAGAAAUAAAACAAGGGGAGUGAAUGGACAGCAGAAAAGCAAGGAAAUUGGACCACUAUGAAGUGGAUUUCUUGUUGGUCUCCCACUUAUAGCUUUGGGUGGCUUUGGUAUGAUUAUUUCUAGGUGGAAAGAGCACAAAGACAGCACACACACACAAGGCAAAAAGCUGGCAGCAUCUUCCUUCAUUGCCGUGGGUUUUUUUUCCCUUGUCCAUUACCUUGCAAUUGCUUGACAUUUCCAACCUCUAUAUAAGCACCAUUCAGCCUUCAAGGAUGAGACAGCCAUUCAUACACAUUUCCAUUAGUUCCAAGGCUUGCAAAGAAGGAGGAGUGCUUGGAGUUGUGCUAGCCAUUCCAUUGGAGUUGUUGGAGCAUUCUAGGUGUCUUCUACUUUGUUUCUCUAUGUUUAAUAUCAAUUGUUUUUGUUUAAUUGCAAGUAUGAGGAACUAAACCCUUACUUAGCUAGGGUGAAGUUCGAAGCCAUGAACAUGUUUGAG